CAGAAUGCGAUAUGCAGUGUGAAUUGCAGAACCACGAAUCAUCGGAUCUUUGAACGCAACUAGCGCUGGUAAAACCAGCAUGCUUGCUUCAGUGUGUCUAAACAAAUAAACAAUCAAAAUGUGAGAGAAGUUCUCUCAUGAAGUAAAUGCUCUUUGCAGCAGUCACAUUUUUUGUGAGCUGUAUAGAAACAUAAAGCCUUACGUACACCUGAAGUCAAGUAAGAUGACCCGCUGGACUUAA
rnacentral:misc_RNA from 1 species